rnacentral:rRNA from 1 species
UACGGGGGGGGCAAGCGUUGUUCGGAAUUACUGGGCGUAAAGCGUGCGCAGGCGGUUUUGUAAGCCAGAUGUGAAAUCCCCGGGCUUAACCUGGGAAUGGCAUUUGGGACUGCAAGGCUGGAGUGCGGCAGAGGAGACUGGAAUUCCUGGUGUAGCAGUGAAAUGCGUAGAUAUCAGGAGGAAUACCGAUGGCGAAGGCAGGUCUCUGGGCUGACACUGACGCUCAUGCACGAAAGCGUGGGGAGCAAACAGG